CACGCCGUAAACGGUGUAUACUAGGUGUUAGUGGUUUAACUACUAGUGCCGAAGCUAACGCAUUAAGUAUACCGCCUGGGGAGUACGCCCGCAAGGGUGAAACUCAAAGAAAUUGACGGGGGCCCGCACAAGCGGUGGAGCAUGUGGUUUAAUUCGAUGAUACGCGAAAAACCUUACCUGGGCUUGAACUGUGCUUGAUCGGUGUAGAGAUACACCUUCCUUCGGGCAGGUACAGAGGUGCUGCAUGGUUGUCGUCAGCUCGUGUCGUGAGAUGUUGGGUUAAGUCCCGCAACGAGCGCAACCCCCACUCCUUGUUGCUACCAGGUUAUGCUGGGCACUCUAGGGGAACGUGCCGGUGAUAAACCG
rnacentral:rRNA from 1 species